rnacentral:lncRNA from 1 species
GCUGUGGAGGUCAUGGAUCGCCUGGUGGAUGCCCUUCGGGGAGGCAUCAGGUGGAGAACUAGAAGGAGAAGGAGAAGAAGAUGUCAGAGAAGAUGAUCAGAGACAGUCCCAUUGAGCACUCCUUUAAGAACAAGGAUACUGCGAAGACACAGUGCCCUUCCUCUAGCGCCAAUUAUGUUGGUGCAGAAUUCUAUCGAAGUCGGAGAAGCUGGAGUUGAGAUGACCGCGGCUGUCAUCGAGACCUACAAGGAAAGUCUAAACU